UGGCCUUUCCGUUUUGCAGAUAAAUUCCCAUUUUGUUUUGCUAUUUGUUUCCCAUUUUUCUUUUUAUUAUUUUUAAUUAUAAUAUUCUUAGUUAAUACUUAACUAUGUUUCUGUGCAUGAGAAAUGGAUGGGGUAAUGGUUUGCGUUGUUUUUGAGGUACUCGGGUGUUUUAGAAGCAGAUCAGUAUCAUCUCAAUAACUGUGUGUUUUCAGUUUUGAGGUACUUAAGUUUCUAAGUAUAUUGCUUGUCUCAUAAAAAGAACUUGUGUACUUUUUGUCGUUAUAGUUCGUGUUAAAAAACAAAUACAAUUAUUGAAUAUCAAAUAGUUAUCAGGAAGAAAUAGAGAACCCAUAUCAGAGUCAAUUAGUUUGUCUUUUUUAAGCCAAUGUUAGUUGCAAUGAUCAGGUGAUUAAUUUGAUAUAUCUGCUUAUGAAUCUAUAAACAAAGACUGAAGUCAAUGGUUCAUUAUUUGUAGUUCCAAAUAUUUCUCUAUAAUAUUUUUGUAGUUCCAAUUUUCUUACAAUAACCAGCUGUUUUUAUUCUAGGAUUAAACUACAUUUACCCAUGUGACUUUGUUCCAUUUACAAGAAGACCUCUAUUUUUGGUUAUUGAUAGUGACAACAGUGAAGCAUUCAAGGCAAGUCUCAUACUCCUAGUUUUUGAUAGUGACAACAGUGGAUUUUUUUUUUUUUUUACAUGCAUUUAGUUAUAAAGUUCAUUAGUUAUUUAUAGCCUUAGCUAUUGUUAACAUAAAUUUAGUUUUUCAUUUUGAACAGUCCUAGUCUCAUGCAGACAACUUGUGCCCGUCUUGGCACCUACCUUAUUCUAAUGUCUUUCUGAGGGUGACUUGUUAUGUUUUUAUGUUUUUUUUUUUUUUUUUUUGAAUUUUGGGUUUGAAGUUCAUGAUGGUUUGCAGUUUGUAUAUGGAUAGAUGUAUAAUUUAGCUUGGUUAAUGUUGAUGUGAUUAAUAGACCAUAAGCUAUUUAUUUUAGAUUUAGAUGUAAUCAAUAUAUAUACACAUUUAGAUGCAUGGAAAUUAAGAAAGAUAUAUUGUAACAAAUACUUCUCAUGACUUGUCAUCCUAAAAAAAUUAUGGGUUUUAUUAUUUUGGUUUGCACAUUGUUGCUGCCAGUUAUAAAUGUGAUACUUUUUCAACUGGCUAAUUGCUGUUUUUGCAUGUGUGAUUUUUAGAUGAGUUAGAAAAUAUAAUCUUUUUUAUAAUGCAGUGUUGUAAAGCUUAUAUUUGUCUGUGUUAUUAUCUAUAAUCUAUAUAAUUGUUCUUUAUUUUCUAUUUUUUUAUUUUAUUUCUUGAGCUGAUUGGCUUGUUUCUUUUCUUGUUUUGCAUUGGAUUUUACCACAAUGCAUGUGAGGUAGACGUGGCCCAGAAUAGAUCUGGAAGAUAAAAUUUAGUGGAAGAUGGCAAUACAGAUGCAGCGUGGAAGAUGGCAAUACCCUGCAAAACCACUGCUGCAACCAAAUCUCUCUGCAUGCAGAUUGUAUUUUAUGAAUUUUUAGUAACCCGUAUGCAUGUCUGGUUUCUGUUCUUGUUUCAGCAGAGAGCACGUGUAAGACAUGCAUGUCUUAAACGUUACUGUAUGCAGAUUUAAAUAUUAAAUGUUACUGUACGCA